rnacentral:sRNA from 1 species
UAUUUAUGUAUAUGUUUACUAUUGCAACUGUCGUUAGCCGUUGGCCCACGCAGCUAGUGGACGAUGCGACGUUGAUCGCACUAAAUUUUUCAUUGUAUCAAUUGUCAAAACAAACUUUUUGGAUUGUCGCUACAUUGUCCAAGUCGACGGGUCCACAUGAAGUCGCCGCCUUCGCCGCCAUCGCAGACGACACAGAUGGCGAUGGCGAUGACGCUGACGCUGACGAUGGCGACAACGGCAACGGCAACGGCCGUGGUGUUACUUUCAAUUGAACUUAAUUAAAUUUACUCGCCGUUCUUUCUUGUUAAGCAUUAGUUACCAAAUUUAAUAUGUAUGCAAACUUCUAAGCAUCUGCUUUGAUCUGGCCAAACAGCGCUCGGCUGAUCCCUAUUAAGUCCUUGCUGAGCCCCUUGCUGAAAACAAGACCUCUAUGCACAUACACUUGCCUGGGCGGCACACGCCCUUGUUUCUAUGUAGUUGUUGGUGUGCGCCUCUGUGCUAUGAGGAUGAUGAUGAUGAUGAUGCCAUAAAAGAGAUAAACCCGUCGCAUAAAAUGGUGUCACAUAUGCGCAACAUUAAUCUGUUUUGAAAUUAUAAAAGUGGAGUGUACGCAACGAAAAAAGAAAAAAUUAUGAAAUUAAAAUAACAACCACCACGAAAAGAGCAAAGCAAGGGCUGAGCCUGCGACUCAAACUCCAACUCCAACUCCAACUGCGACUGGCAACUGCGACUGUGUCUAUGUCUGUGCCUGUGCCUGGGAACUCGGAUGAGGGCAACAUGAACGGGACUGUGGCUUUUGUAAGCGCAGUUAACAAUGUUUUUUUUUGUUUUUUUUUUUUUUUGUGUAUCUCUCCUCCCUUCUCCGAUCAUAUUCAUAUGCAAAACAAGAGCAACAAGAACAACACAAUGGCAAGAAGUAAUGAUGCUAACACCAAGCGUGACAUUCAAACAACAACAGCAACAACAACGGAGAAGGAACAGGAGGCAGCCUCAGCAGGCAACAGGAGGCAACAAUAACGAGGGAAUUACGAGCAUCAAAA